CGUUACGGUCGUCUGAUCUGCAAGUCGAGCGGAUGACAGGAGCUUGCUCCUGAAUUCAGCGGCGGACGGGUGAGUAAUGCCUAUGAAUCUGCCUGGUAUUGGGGGACAACGUUUCCAAAGGAACGCUAAUACCGCAUACGUCCUACGGGAGAAAGCAGGGGACCUUCUGGCCUUGCGCUAUCACAUGAGCCUAGGUCGGAUUACCUAGUUGGUGAGGUAAUGGGUCACCAAGGCGACCAUCCGUAACUGGUCUGAGAGGAUGAUCAAUCACACUGUAACUGAGACACGGUCCAAACUCCUACGGGAGGCACCACUGGGGAAUAUUGUACAAUGGGCGAAAGCCUGAUCCAGCCAUGCCCCGUGUGUGAAGAAGGUCUUCGGAUUGUAAAGCACUUUAUAUUGGGAGGAAGGGCAUUAACCUAAUACAUUAGUGUUUUGACGUUACCCACAGAAUAACCACCGGCUAACUCUGUGCCAGCAGCCGCGGUAAUACACAGGGUGCAAGCGUUAAUCGGAAUUACUGGGCGUAAAGCGCGCGUAUGUGGUUUGUUAAGUUGGAUGUGAAAUCCCCGGGCUCAACCUGGGAACUGCAUUCAAAACUGACAAGCUAUAGUAUGGUAUAGGGUGGUGGAAUUUCCUGUGUAUCGCUGAAAUGCGUAUAUAUAGGAAAGAACACCAGUGGCGAAGGCGACCACCUGGACUGAUACUGACACUGAGGUGCGAAAGCGUGGGGAGCACACAGGAUUAGAUACCCUGUUAGUCCACGCCGUAUACGAUGUCAACUAGACGUUGGGAGCCUUGAGCUCUUAUUGGCGCAUCUAACGCAUUAUGUUGACCGCCUGGGGAGUACAGCCGCGAGGUGAAAACUCAAAUGAAAUGUCAGGGGCCCUCACAACGCUGGAGCAUGUGGUUUUAUUUCGAAGCUACGCGCAGAACCUUACCACGCCUUGUCAUCCCAUGAGCUUUCCACAGAUGGAUUGGUGCGUUCUGGAUCAUUGAGACAGGUGCUGCAUGGCUGUCGUCACCUCGUGUCGUGAGAUGUUGGGUUAAAUCCCCUUACAGAGC
rnacentral:rRNA from 1 species